rnacentral:rRNA from 1 species
GACGAACGCUGGCGGCGUGCCUAAUACAUGCAAGUAGAACGCAGUUUUGAACGGGUGAGUAACGCGCAGGUAACUGCCUGUCAUCGGGGGAUAACUCUCUUAAACGAUAUCUAAUACCCCAUACUCCCUGAUGGACCUGCGCUGUAUUAGCUAGUUGGUGGGGUAACGGCUCACCAAGGCAACGAUACAUAUCCGACCUGUGAGGGUGAUCGGCCAAACUGGGACUGAGACACGGCCCAGACUCCUACGGGAGGCAGCAGUAGGGAAUCUUCGGCAAUGGACGGAAGUCUGACCGAGCAACGCCGCGUGAGUGAAGAAGGUUUUCGGAUCGUAAAGCUCUGUUGUAAGAGAAGCGGUAUCUUACCAGAAAGGGACGGCUAACUACGUGCCAGCAGCCGCGGUAAUAC